UACGAGAGGCCCAAACGUUAUUCGGAUUUACUGGGCUUAAAGAGUUCGUAGGCGGUUCGGUAAGUGAGGUGUGAAAGCCCUCGGCUCAACCGAGGAAUUGCGCUUCAAACUGCCGGGCUCGAGGGAGAUAGAGGUGAGCGGAACUGAUGGUGGAGCGGUGAAUGCUUAGAUAUGACAUAGAACACCAAUUGCGAAGGCAGCUCACUAAGCAAAUAUUGACGCUGAGGCACGAAAGCGUGGGGAUCAAACAGG
rnacentral:rRNA from 1 species